rnacentral:rRNA from 1 species
UACGGAGGGGGCGAGCGUUGUCCGAAGUUACUGGGCGUAAAGCGCGCGUAGGCGGCUUUGCAAGUCGGGUGUGAAAUCCCCAGGCUUAACCUGGGAACUGCAUUCGAGACUGCAUUGCUAGAGUAUGGGAGAGGGAAGUGGAAUUUCCGGUGUAGCGGUGAAAUGCGUAGAUAUCGGAAGGAACAUCAGUGGCGAAAGCGACUUCCUGGACCAAUACUGACGCUCAUGUGCGAAAGCGUGGGGAGCAAACAGG